ensembl:lncRNA
GGGAGUGCCGCCGGGCCCCGCGCUCACAGUGCUCUCGAGCGGCGCUUAGGGCAGCGACCUGGGUUCGGCCGCCCGAAUCCGUUCCGGCCCCGGGGCUUGCUCGCACAUGCUCAGAACGCCGGCUUCUGCCGCGCUGGAGUUUCAGGGGUUUCGGUCGGCUUCCCGUGCGCGUACAGGCGCUGGGGAGGCAGGUAAGGGUCGGGGCGAUAUUCAGACCCAUCCUUGCGCCGAGACAGAACAGCGGAAGAAGUAGGGGACGCAAAGAGCAAAGGAGGAAGAAAUAGCAGAUAACCAGGGGAAAGAGAAGUUGAAAUUGAUGAGGAACCCACGCUAGAAGCAGAGAUCUGUGGAGCUGGUGUGUGAAUAAAAUCACGUGAAGAUUUGGUUUUCCCUCUCUGGAAGAAGUCCUCUUAAAAUUCCUGGAGCCAGAACCUCAGGAUGGGAGAGAGAAUAUAUGUGUCGGGGCCACUGUCAUAUCUGCACCCUCACGGUGGUUGGCCCACCAUCCUGUGGUGAGCACCAGUAUUUAAGAGAAGCUAGCUUCUGUAUGUAAUUACAAUGACCUCUCCAGUCAGUUAAUCUCCAAGUAACAUGUACUGUACAUGCAGGUCUAAUAUUAGUUUCUUGGCAUAUUUCAGAAAGGUAUCAGACUGUCAUAAAGCCCUUCUGUAAGGACUGCUUCAGUGGGAACUUGGAGAUAUGUCAAGCUUGUCCUGUAUCACUAAGGUAAUAAGAACUCCAUCAUCCUCAAAAUUUGCUCUAGUUUCAAGAGCCAUCCAUCAUUUUGAUGAAGAUAGACGUGGACUACUGAAUAUUCUCCUAGUGUUUCCAAUGACCAAGGAUAUCAACAGGAAAAGGAAAGACAACGGCCAGUUUAUACUUCUAAUCUUUUCCCCCCAUACACACAAAAAAAGGUUAUAAAGUAUUAGAAAGUCAGUAACAGAAUAAUGACACUGAAAAUUAACCAGAAAAUAUAUCUUUUUCCCCCUCUGUUCCUGAAGGUGUGUUGUGUAAAAUUUGGGAUUAUUUCAGAUUUAUAAACAAUUAUUUUAAGCAAUGAUUUGAAAAAAGAGGCAAGACUUUAAUGGUGGUGUCUCUGGCAUAGUAGCUGAGGAAAUGGUUUUUAGGUUAAAUGUCAUUUUAACAUCCUUUAAAUCAUCCUUUAACCCUACUGAUGUGGCACAUUUUAGUAAAUUUAGAUACCAUCUACUGAGUGCUUUUUCUUGUUCUAAGCACUAUACUGAUUUCUUUGUAUGCAUUACUUCAUUAUAAUCCCCAUCACGAUCAAUCUUAUGAGAUAGGCAUCACAAACCCCAAUUUUUUCUUGUGGAAAUUGAGAGUUACAGAAGUCAAACAGCUUCUAAGAGGAGCUGAGAUGGGAUCCAAAGACCAUGCCUUGCCCAUUACUAACUUUAGCUGAGGUUGCUUCUCCACUCUGCAUGUGCAAAGGCUGCUUCAAGACUCAGCUCAAGUGUCACCUCUUCUUGCAUGGUUUUCUGUUCACACAGACAGACACACACACACACACACACACACACACACACACACACACACAGGACAUACUCUCCCACUCACUCCUCUCUAAACUUCUAUAGCAUCACUGGCCAAAUGAAAUAAUGUGAGCCACGUGUGUAAUUUUAAAUUUUCUAGUAACCACGUAAAAACGUGAAAAGAAACAGGUGAAAUUAAUUAUAUACUUUAACCCAACGUAUCCAAAAUACUAUCGUGUCCCAUGUAGUCAAUUUAAAUAUUAUUAAUGAGAUGCUUUGCAUUUUUUGCACUGACUCUUCGAAAUCUGGUUUGUAUUUUAUACCUACAGUACAUCUCAGUUCGAACUAGCCACAUUUCAAAUGCCCAAUAAUCAAUAAGUAGUGGCUGUUCUAUUGGACUGUGCAGUUCUAUAGCAUUUAGCCCAUGUCAUUUCCUUUUUAUUCAGUGUAAAGUAAGUCUCUUGAGGUCAAGAAAUGAGACAAACUCAUCUUUGUAUUUCCCAACAUCCCCAAAUAUCACAUAAUAAAUGUUUGAGUCAACUUGUGAGUCAAGAACACAAGUACUGGCACCUUACUGGAUUCCUAGAAGGGAAGUAUCUGCACCACGUCAAGGCAUGGGUAGUUCUCACAAAGUCAUCUUCACACCACAUGGUCUUAGGAGCUGCAAGAUGCUCAGAGACCUGAAAAACAGCCUUGAGGUUGAAGUUGUGAAACUGACAAGGAAGAAAAAGAGAGAAUGCUAUGGGGGUUAUGAAAACAAAAGACAGACAAAGCCCCAGAUCACUUUCUGGUGAUCAUUCGAAAGAAGAAAAGGAGACAAACACGUGGUGAUGAGAGGUUACCAAGUGACUCAACCGUCUGAAAAUAGAGCAGUAAUUGAUACUUAGUGUGAAAGGAUUCUUUAAAUCUCUCCGGUGUGGCUUACACACUUGAAACACAUCUUGAGCAUAUAAAAGUGGUAUAUUUGGAAAAAAUAACCUUUUUUUGGCCACUCAGGUUAUAUCUGACUCAAAAUCCAACAGGUAGUAUCCAUUAAAAAAAUCAGUUGUCAAUUAGUGUCUUAAGUAUUGACCAGUUUUUUCUUUCUUCAAUGAGUAGCUGUUACUAUAUGGGAAUACAGCUCCACGGUGUACUUACAGUAUUGUUUGUGAAUUUGUACUCCAUUAUUUUCCUAGUUGGCUGUGACAGUUAGUGACACAUCCUAAAAUACUUUUCAUUUGUGGAGGACUUUAGAGUUCACUUUUGUAUAUAUUAUCUCCCCUUGAUGAAACUCUUUGGGACAUUUUGUGUCACUCCCCAGGAACCUUCUGUCGAGGAUUCCUGGAGUCAUACAAUCAAAGUCUCAGGCUGUUGAUUUUGGAAAUCAUGUCAAUUCAUAGUUUACAAGUGAUUAAAAUGCAGUCUUCUUUAAAAUCAGAGCUUGCCUUUUAAGUACAUACGGGUCUUUCAGGACAUACAGGUGGAUUGAAUGCAGAAAAUCCUCAGAUGCUCCCUCUGCCUGUGAAGUAAUAAGGUUUGGAAAAGGCAUUUUACUGAUGUCCUCUGGUUUUCAGCAAAAACAUGUAGGACUAAGACCAUCACCAGCUGAGAGGCCACUCAUAAAAUAUGAUGAGGCCCGGGCUUCCCUGGUGGCGCAGUGGUUGAGAGUCCGCCUGCCGAUGAGGGGACACGGGUUCGUGCCCCGUUCCGGGAAGAUCCCACACGCCGUGGAGCAGCUGGGCCCGUGAGCCAUGGCCGCUGAGCCUGCGCGUCCGGAAACUGUGCUCCGCAACGGGAGAGGCCACAACAGUGAGAGGCCCGCGUACCGC